GGCACUUUGGCCGAGUGGUCUAAGGCGCCGUGUUCAGGUGUUGCUGUCCAACAGCUCUCCAGCUUCGCGGUCUAGAAAUAGGCGAGGGUUCGAAUCCCUCAGGUGUCA
rfam:Trichoderma gamsii strain T6085 Scaffolds0015.1, whole genome shotgun sequence.